AAAAAUAUUCUGAGAAAGUGUCCAGGGGCCUCACAGACUGCCAAAGAGAUCCCAUCGUACAGAAAAGGUUAAGAACCCCUAGCCUAGGGAAGGAUUCUAGACAAGGAAAACUCGGAAAAAGGCUAAGAGGAGAGAAAAUACAGGCGGGGCAAGUAUUCCAUUUUGACUGAAAUGUGAGGAGAUAAUGGAAGAGGAAAAAGAAAGAAGGCUGAACUUGAUCAUCAGAGCUGAACUUUGUUUUCAGCAGACACUGGGGAGCUACUUAAUCAGGAUUUUUUAAAAGAGGGGCAAGGAUCAGAGCAGGAGAAACCCAAUCAAAUGAGAGUUUUUAAAUCAUUGCCCAGUAAAGGUAAGAAGGAUGGACUGGAAUACAAAGAAACAGAAGGGGCGAGACUAAAUUUCAAAUCCAGGCUUGAUUAACAAAAGCCCCAAGUGAAGAGGGUAACAAUGAAAGUGGAAAAAAGGAGCUGAAUACGAGAGCACUCCAGCGCUCGGAAGGUUGAACACUGAGUAUGACAGAGAGAGGAACCAGAGACAACUCCCCGGCGUUUCAAGUGAGGGUCACUGGAACAGCAGUCAUUCCAAGAAAAAUUCAGGGGAGCCAGGCAGAACAAGGUGGGCGAGGAAAGCGCUGAGUUGCCUACAGGAAGUCCAGGUGAAAACAUUCAGUGUUUAUUGACGGCCGCUGAUAACCAAGACCUGCUGCAUCUCCUGACAGCUUAUUUCGACUUCAGCAGGAGCUUUUCCCCGACAGAGAUUUUUAUUCUGGGGGCGCAUGACCCCACAGGGUUUCCACGAAGCCUUGAAAUUAUAAAAGCAAAUUUUGCUUGUGGUCAUGGACAUUUUUCUGGGAGGAAGUGUGUACUUUCAAUACAAACUCAAAGGGCAUGUGGCCCUCUUUCCCCUCCAAAAACGGAAGAUUAGCCCUGAGCGCCUUCACCACCAAUCCUCCUCUUUUUGCUGAGGAAGACUGGCCCUGAGUUAACACCUGUACCCAUCUUCCUCUACUUUAUAUGUGGGGCGCCUGCCACAGCAUGGCUUGACAAGCGGUGCCAUGUCCACACCCAAGAUCCACACUGGGGAUCGGAACCAGCAAAUCCUGGUCCUAGAAGCAGAGCACGGCAACCCAACUGCUAUGCCACCAGGAGGGCCACUAAUAUAGUGCAUUUUUGACACUCACUAAGUAUUUGUUAACUCCAGAUAAUUAAGACAAAGGAUGCUUUCAAUUUGAUGUAUAUGAAGUGACAACGAAUAAGCAGAAGAGGCCAAGAUACCAGGAAAUUUAAAAGCUGUGCCCACAGAAUGGAUCAGGGAAAUAAAUUAAAGCCUUGAAAUUCAGAGGGUUUUUUUUUUUCAUUAAAACUAAUUACCUUUAUUAGGUAAUGUGUGGAAAGCGGUUUUCAUGGUAAGCUUAAUAAACAUACAUGUAUUUGUUGGAUAGAUCUCAGUAAAGCUGGAAAAUAACAGAAGACAAAUUACAUUUGGCCUUUCUUUCUAUUAUCCCCUUCCUAUGUAAUCAGCAUAUACGCACGAGGAAUGUAACUCAUCAUCACCAUCUGAUGAGUCAGCAAGCCCUGGUCAGGUGCACGGUUAGAGAUCUUUGCUGAUACGAAAGGACACAUGGCUGUUCCCCUCCUCCUAUAACUUAAAGAACAGAAGGAGAAAGAAAGAAAAUAUUGCUCACGCUAACAUGCAACUUAGAAGUCAACUGUCGUUUUUCCCUCCUUUGAAGUCCUUCCCCUUUCUCACCCCUCAAAAGAAAUCUCCAGAAGCUACCUAAAGGUUUCAUGGAGGAGAGAAGUUUACACCGCCACCUCUCAACUAACCGCAUGAAAGACCUCCCCUCGGGCGUUUUCCCCCUGCUUUGCAGGGUGCACCUGAGGGUCUAAUUCUGUUCGGCAGCAGGGCUCCUCUCUGUUGCUGUAUCCAGCAAGCCCCUCUCUCCCGUCCCCCAAACACCCCCGUCUUCCUCCAGGGAAGCAAAAGGAAAACCCUGCAGGUAACCAGACCAACUCCACUCCAACGAUCUCCUCAAAGUAUUUCUUCCAAACAUUUAACACUUUCCCCACGAAGAAUUUUAUUAUCAGCAGCUGAGUGGUUGACGAUUUUUCCAUAUUGUUACAAUUCUCACUUGUAGGUAGUUGAAAUUUGCAAAUCUAUACAAUCUUUUUUGAAGCUGGGUGUCUCUGGCUGUAGAUCCCACUUCACUGGAAGAUAGUUCCCUGAGGACACAGACAAGAAACUUCUCUUCCUUCCCUCAGUAUCAUCUAUCCCUAAUUUAAAAAGUAAGCAAGACUGCAGGGGCUCAAC
ensembl:lncRNA